UCUAGAAGUAAUUCUUCGAAAGUGGC
rnacentral:sRNA from 1 species